rnacentral:rRNA from 1 species
GUAAUGAUUUGAGCGCUGUCUUGACGGGAGGCCUGGUGAAAUUGUACUACCGGUGAAGAUACCGGUUACCUACAGUAGGACGGAAAGACCCCAUGGAGCUUUACUGUAGCUUGGUAUUGGGUUUUGGCAUUGCAUGUAUAGGAUAGUUGGGAAACUAUGAAGAUAUGGCGCUAGCUGUAUUGGAGUUGUCGGUGGAAUACCAACCAUUCAAUGUCGAAAUUCUAAUCUGUGGUUUGCAGCCACGGAAACAGUGCUAGGUGGGCAGUUUGACUGGGGCGGUCGCCUCCGAAAGAGUAACGGAGGCGUUCAAAGGUUCUCUCAGGUUGGAUGGAAAUCAACCGCAGAGUGCAAUGGCAUAAGAGAGCUUAACUGCGAGACUGACGGGUCGAGCAGGUGCGAAAGCAGGACAUAGUGAUCCGGCGAUUCCGAAUGGAAGGGUCGUCGCUCAACGGAUAAAAGCUACCCUGGGGAUAACAGGCUGAUUUUGCCCGAGAGUCCAUAUCGACGGCAAAGUUUGGCACCUCGAUGUCGGCUCAUCGCAUCCUGGGGCUGGAGAAGGUCCCAAGGGUUGGGCUGUUCGCCCAUUAAAGCGGUACGUGAGCUGGGUUCAGAACGUCGUGAGACAGUUCGGUCCCUAUCCACUGUAGGCGUUAGAAUAUUGAGAAGAUCUGUCCUUAGUACGAGAGGACCGGGAUGGACAAACCUCUGAUGUACCAGUUGUCACGCCAGUGGCACAGCUGGGUAGUCACGUUUGGAACGGAUAACCGCUGAAAGCAUCUAAGCGGGAAACCAGCUUCAAGAUAAGUAUUCUUUAAGACUCCUUCGAGACUAGAAGGUUGAUAGGUUGGGGGUGUAAGAGCUGCGAGGCUUUUAGCUGACCAAUACUAAUAAGUCAAAGUUUUAACCUAA